rnacentral:rRNA from 1 species
GACGAACGCUGGCGGCGUGCUUAACACAUGCAAGUCGAACGAAGUGGCGAACGGGUGAGUAACGCGUAAUCAACCUGCCCUUCAGAGGGGGACAACAGUUGGAAACGACUGCUAAUACCGCAUACUGAAGGAGGGGAUGGCGUCGGAUUAGCUAGGUGGAGGGGUAACGGCCCACCAAGGCGAUGACCAGUAGCCGGUCUGGGAGGAUGAACGGCCACAUUGGGACUGGGGAACGGCCCAGACUCCUACGGGAGGGAGCAGUGGGGAAACUUCCGGAAUGGGCGAAAGUCUGGCGGAGCAACGGCGCGUGAGUGAUGACGGCCUUCGGGUUGUAAAGCUCUGUUAAUCGGGACGCGGUACCGGAAUAGAAAGCCACGGCUAACUACGUGCCAGCAGCCGCGGUAAUAC